rnacentral:rRNA from 1 species
GUGGGGAAUAUUGGGCAAUGGGCGAAAGCCUGACCCAGCAACGCCACGUGAAGGAAGAAGGUCUUCGGAUCGUAAACUUCUAUCCUUGGUGAAGAUAAUGACGGUAGCCGAGAAGGAAGCCCCGGCUAACUACGUGCCAGCAGCCGCGGUAAUACGUAGGGGGCAAGCGUUGUCCGGAAUGAGUGGGCGUAAAGGGCGCGUAGGCGGCCUGGUAAGUCUGGAGUGAAAGUCCUGCUUUUAAGGUGGGAAUUGCUUUGGAUACUGUCGGGCUUGAGUGCAGGAGAGGUAAGUGGAAUUCCCGGUGUAGCGGUGAAAUGCGUAGAGAUCGGGAGGAACACCAGUGGCGAAGGCGACUUACUGGACUGUAACUGACGCUGAGGCGCGAAAGUGUGGGGAGCAAACAGGAUUAGAUACCCUAGUAGUCC